UUCAACGGAUGGGGAGGACUGUGAAUACGUAUGAAAGUAACUCUAAUGGUUUAAUAACAAUACGGCAACAUAAAUCUAUCGAUCAGAAAGAAAAACGCAUUAAAGCAUAUCUAUGCUCGUAUUGACCAUUCGUGUAAUGGCUUCAAUGGCUCUUUUUCCCGGCGCACUGAGAUGCCGAAACGCUACCAAACCAUUAAACCGUGAAUGGUAGUGUUGUGCUGCUGUGAGUAUUGUCUAAAUAAUGGCGUUUCGCUCAAUAAGGUCUUUCUGGAACCGCAGGACACCACAUCGGAGAACAAUUGUGUUAUAUUAUAUUUUUUUGUAUCAUUACCAUCAUAAUCAACAUCGUAGCGUGUGUUCUCAUUUAUUAUUAUGUACAGUGCGAUUGCUACGAUCGAGUCUCGGACGCACAGUAAUGUGUGCAAAAAUUGUAGUUUUUUUCCGGGAACACUUACAAUAUUUUUCAAAUGACAUAGAAAGAUAAAACUAUGAUUGACACACUGUAAAAAAUUGCUAUAAUUUUUACUAGAUGAAUUCUUGAAACCUAAUUACGUAUUUUGCAGAAAAAAUAUAUUUACUCGUUAACUGAAGUCUCUCAUUGAUAAUCAGUUUGGUCAUAUAACCCAUAAAAUCCAAAAAUCACUCAUAUAUUGUUUCAGAAGCUAUUUAAAAUUGCAGUUUUGGAAAACGAAUUUUUAUAUCAUUACUUCAAAAUUAUUAAUAACCCGUGAUUUUAUUAUAUAGUGUGUUCAGUAAGUAAGAAAAUGGGUUUCUAUUGUUCUCGUCGUUUGUAACAAAUGACCUCUUUCUUUAAUUAUUGAUAACCCUAGUAAAAUGUAAGGCGAGAAAAAUUAAGUUGCAAAUUAGUAUUUAAAAGUAUUUAAGAAAAAGUCGCUUUUUCUCACUUUUCAGGAAAUCAUAUAUAAAAAUUACUCUCUGAUUACACGCCAUAUGUUUAUCAACUCUCAUCCAAACCAAAUUGUCGACGAUUUAAUGAAGGUUAUUAUAACAAGAGUAAAACCUAAAUUCAAAAAUCUUAUUAUAUCACAUACGAAUUUUUUGAUUUAGUGCUUUAUUUGUUCCGCAUAGCGAUUUGUGUUUUUAACACAUUUAUUAAUUUUAUAUUUCCAGAUUGAUCACCUGGUCAUCCGGUUUUAUUAAGAUAGAGCUAAUGAAGUGCAUAGAUAUAAUGCUAAUAAAGUUAUUAUUGCAAUACGCGUCUGGAUUCUUAUUUAAGAUUAUUUAUCAAUAAAGUAAUUAUUCUAUAUGGAAUGUAUAUAUACUUAUAAGCAGUUUUGAUAGAAAAUUAAAAACAAUCAGAAUAUAAUACAACAAUAAUAAAAUUAUAAAUUGAUUAAAUCACUAUACAGACAAUGCAUUUAGUUUGACCGAUGAAAAAGAUAGUGUUAGAGCAGUGUAAUUUUGGCUAUUUAAUUAUAUAACUUUUCUUUUUUUUUACACUAUAGUAUUUUACAAAAAAAAAAACAUCAAUUUAUUUGAAUUUGGUGAUGAUUUAAUUUAUUGAGAUUAUUAAUUUUCAAAUUUUAUUUAUUUUUAAUUUGUAUUGUUUUAAAUUCAGGAUGCUUAAAAUAACUAUUUUUAUUUUGUUAAUUAUAAUUAGUAUUAAUUACAAUUGUCAUCAUAUGUUAUCAAACGUAUCAUUCAUAACCAUUCCAGAUAUAAAUAUAAAAUAAAAUUUAAGAUUAACAAUUAUCUAUAUAUGAAAUUUUACUCUGUAAUAGCCUUAUACUAUUUUACAGUACAAUUUGGUUCACUAAUAAUUAACUAAUAAAUGUAAUUUAAGUAAAGUAUAUUUUUUGAUUUCAUGUAUUUGUUAAAUUUUAUUGCGUAGUGACUUGCUGCUUCAACAAACAUGACAUCGCAAAACCAAACACAAUGUACUUAUUUUCUUUUAAUCCUUCGAACAACGUCACGUACAUUGCUAUCGAAAAGAAUGGAUACACGAUGAAGAAUUAUCAGAAACUAGCCAAUUGCAAAAAUUGGCAAACUCAAAGAACGAGCAGCUUGGGGGAAGUAAAAGGUCGUUAAAACGAUGCCAAGAUUAUUCGCGUUCCCUAGAGAAAAAAAUCGCCAUCGAGGCGUAAUCAAAGGGAGGUCCCGUAAAUUGGUCGGUACCUUACUUAUAUCUGGCUACUGAAGUAGUAUUACAUUUUAUAUAAUAUGAGCACGGAUAAUUUAAGAAGCAACGAAAUUUUAUUCAAAAUCUACAAAAUUUGAGUUUUAUAUGAUAUUAAUAACCAGGUGCAAAUUAAUAUUAUGAUUUUAUCGUUUACAUACUUGGAAGUCAUCCAGUUCUCGUAAAAAUGAUCUGCCGGAUGUUAUAAUUUUUUUUUCUUAUCGAAAUAUGUAGCGCUCUCCAACGGAAUUCGACGGCUUCAUUGUAUAAGGAUUGUUGAGUUUUUUAUAUUUUGAUAUGUACAUAUCAAUUAAAUAUUAAACAUCAAUUGCAUUUUUAAAUAUAUUAAUAUUAUCUGUUUUCUUAAAAAUAGUGUUUUAAAGUUAUUAAUAAUAAUUAGACAUGUGU